CCUUUGCUCCAGACCACAACGUCAGGGAUGUCACUCGUCAGACGUCCCGGCAGCCAGCGCUGCUCAUUAAGCCUGCCAGAGCCGCACUGAUCUGUCCAAUCAGAGAGCAGCACUACUGAAAUAGAACUCUCAGGAGGUAACAGCGUGUCACACAUGUGAUGUCAUAGCCAUUGUCCACCAGAGAGCAGCACUGAGCAGAUAUAACACUGCUCCUGCUCAUUCUUCAUCAGUGAGGGGCUGAUGCUGGACACUGUAGGGACCGAGAAUGCAAAGUCAUAUACACUACUGUGACUGAUGCAUUAUUUCCAGGAUGUGGAGUAGCAUUUCCGGACCUACAGCAAGACGUUGGAUGAAGACGUGGAUUUCCAGACCUAGCAAGAAUUUGGAUGAAGGCACAGCCUCUCGAAUCACGUACAUACACAGACACAUUGGCCCAAAUUCUAGAGGUAACCUCCUUUAGUAUGCCCAGAGGAAGGGCAAUACAGUAGCCAUGGAUUCCCUACAGGUUUACUCCCCUCUGGAGGUUUUUCCUGUCCUGAGUAUUAGUUACUGUACGCUCUUUGUGAGUGAUGGAGGUUACAUAAAAUCCCUACACAAACAUUUUAAUAUAUAAUAAAUAAAGUUCC